UACGUAGGGUGCAAGCGUUAAUCGGAAUUACUGGGCGUAAAGCGUGCGCAGGCGGUUAUGCAAGACAGAUGUGAAAUCCCCGGGCUUAACCCGGGAACUGCUUGGUAUACUGGGUGUCUUGAGCCAACUAGGGGCGACCGGAACAAACGGUGGAGCGGUGAAAUGCGUAGAUAUCGUUUGGAACGCCAAUGGUGAAAACAGGUCGCUGGGGUUGUGCUGACGCUGAGACACGAAAGCCAGGGGAGCGAACGGG
rnacentral:rRNA from 1 species